UCAUGUUAAAUCGGGGCGUUAGCGGUGCCUUGUAACCCUCAAUCCGCUAUAGAGGGGAUGAAAACUUGCCAUGAGGGAUAGCCAUGUCCGGUCUGACCCUGUUCUAGUGGUGUUGACGGUUUGGUCUUGCGCAAUUGGAACCUGUGAACCUCGUCAGGGCGGGAACGCAGCAGCGAUAAGCAGUUAUUCUGAUGUGCCGCAAGAUCGCCAAACCCGAGCUUACGGUACAGGGGGCGCGGGUAUUGUUAUUUCGAAGGUAAGCACAUGA
rnacentral:SRP_RNA from 1 species